ensembl:snoRNA snoRNA:Psi18S-1347a snoRNA:Psi18S-1347a
CGCAACUCCUACCCAUUGGUUGGUCAGAUUUAUCUCUUUUUGACACGACUAAGAUUCAAUGUUGCCAGAGAAAGCAAUGCAACUUACCAUGUAGAUGGCUGAUCUAUGCCAUCCACAGAAGUAGAAGCAUAACAAAC